GUCACAGCCGAUCAUGGGACUGCCGUCGUCCGGCUUGUUGCACCCGGGACAGAUCCAGAUCUGAUUCCCCCACUCAUCUCGGAUCUGAGGUCACACGUUUUGUCUUCUGUCUACAAAAUGUCGCCGAGGAGAUAACGAGGCUUUGCUUCCAUGUUAUCCAUGCCGAUCAGAUUCAUCUCCGGGGAGUAAGCCCGAAAAUCCACUGAGAACUGGAAACUAGGCUAUAACAUCCUGUACCGAUCAUCCAGUCUCACCCGAACCCCCUAAUUACAGAUGAAGCAAUGGAGACCGAAGAGAUCACCUUCAUGUGUGCGCAUGUAACUGCAGGGGGGAGGAGUGUUUUCAUGGCCUUUUCAGAUGACCGUGUACAUUCUUCGAUACUGCACCCAAAAUGCAACAAGUGACAGCUGCUUAAGUGAGUCACAAUGUGUGAUCUGAAACCGUAUCACAGCUUUUUACACUCAUCGAUGUGCUAACGCUCUGAAUAGCUAUUUUACCCACCCAUGAUUAUAUAACAUCAUGCACUGGUUUGUAAUAUCGGUUCACUGAAUUAUGCAGCUCUUCCGAAUAUUUACACAUUUCAUUGUACAAUAUUAAA